rnacentral:tRNA from 1 species
GGAAGGGUAGCGAAGAGGCUAAACGCGGCGGACUGUAAAUCCGCUCCUUCGGGUUCGGGGGUUCGAAUCCCUCNA